UACGUAGGGGGGCAAGCGUUGUCCGGAUUCAUUGGGCGUAAAGAGCGUGUAGGCGGCCAGGUAGGUCGGUUGUGAAAACUGGAGGCUCAACCUUCAGAGGUCGACCGAAACCAUCUGGCUAGAGUCCGGGAGAGGAGAGUGGAAUUCCUGGUGUAGCGGUGAAAUGCGUAGAUAUCUGGAGGAACAUCGGUGGCGAAGGCGGCAUCCUGGACCGGUAUUGACGCUGAGGCGCGAAAGCCAGGGGAGCAAACGGG
rnacentral:rRNA from 1 species